GAGGAUUCGGGGAUACAUUAGUAUUAUCAAAUGUGUUUUCAUUCAUUUCUAAAUCUACAGGGUCAUGCCUACUGAACCUGUGACAUUUCCAACUUCUUUGUAGCCAUGUGAAAUUGAAGCGUGAGGGGUGCUGACUAGCUUCAGGAAUUGAAUUUUUCCAGGAACUGAAGUUAAGCUCGCUGGCCUAUAGAUCAAUGCCUGUUGCUCAGUAAUCACAGAUACCACUCAUCACUGAUGACAACGGAACCCCUAUAUUUGGACUCUAGCACUUCAGAAGUCAAUGUGCAUUUGGGGAAAUGGAAAUGACAAUCAAGAAAAUGAAGGUGGAAAGAACAGCUGGACAUGACCAAAUACAUUCAAGAAAAAAUGUCUACUGAAGGCAACACAAUUUUAAAAGACCAUAUGGAUAAAUUUUAAAAGAGAAUGGAAAUAUUAUAGAUGACAUUAUAACUA